AAAAAACAAAAGUUACAUGAUGUAGAACCCAAUACAAAACAAACAUCCCAAAAAACAAGAACCCAGCAACUUGAUAUCAGAAGGGCAACUUUCAUCUUGACCUUGCAGCAGAAGUGAUAAAGCAGGAGGAAGCUUGCAUGAAAAUCUGGCAGUCCACAAUAGAUGGCAGUAGUGCAGUGAUAUGCAAAACAUCCCUGACAACACAUAGCAGCAAAAUAUAACUAGAAAACCGAAAUUUGAAAACUGCAUAUUUUUCUUCAAUUGUAAACUGACAAACAUAUUUAUCUUUAAUUGAAAACUGACAAACUGAAAAGCUGCAUAUGCUGUCAAAGGAUGAGAAGAGUCACUUGAAGCUUUAACUUUUAUAUUCACUGAACACUUGCACAAACCAAUUGAUGCAAUUGAUGAACUGCCUCAAUAUAUUUUGUAUUUCCACUUGAAGAGAUAACCAGCAGCCCAUUAUAUAUAUGUCAGCAGCAACACAAAUAGCAACUUAACCUCUCACAACUUCGCAAUAGAAACAGAAUGCAGAGCUAACAGUCUACUGAAAGAUCCUGCCCUCAUAAGAAUAUGACGUCCCACAGCUGAACACGUGUAUACCAGUAGCACAACAACAAUGUAACUCCAAUUUCUUCAAUAACACGAAAACAGCUGAAAAUUUGACACCAUCUCACAAAUAAGCAGAUCAAGCACACAGACCCAUACACUCAAACCAUGAUCCAAACCACUAGGCCAAUUCACCAGUCCGAAAACAAGAUAUAAAACUGCUUCGUCACCUUUUUCUUUGGUUGACGGCAGACACAACUUCAAUAAAAGAAAAAUGGAAAACUGACGAUAUCAAGCAUAACAGCUCAGACCAGAGCAAGAGUCCAUGAAGCAAGCGACUGAGCUACCCAUUCAACAAGAUUAUACCAAAUUGUGCUGGAUGCUCUACAAUAUGAAGAGAGUCACAAUAGGCAGAGAUGCACAUCUAACCAGAAUGGACUACUGCAGAAUUGAAUGAGGCAAAUCAUAAUUGAAUGCAACAACUUCCAAAUAACAGAGGGGCCAGAAACUACUUCACCAAAUUCAGACAUGUACUGCACACUAGAGCCAUAGAUCCAAUCCAUAAUCCAAAAUUAUCAUGCGACAUCACCAGUCCAAAAACAAAGGAAAAUUCUUCAAUCUUAAACUUCAACUUCAACUUUGAUAAAAAUAAUAAACUGGAAAACUGAUAAUCGGAGCACAACAUCUAAGACCAUAAAGAGAUUCCAAAAAUUCAAGUGAGAGAGGAGACUGAAUCGGAAAAGAAUUACCAACCCCUACUUCUGCAUCUGAAAGAUAGCCACAUCUCACCAUCAAAUCAAAAGCCCACGAUAUUCACCCUCAAAAUACUCAUAUCACCCAUCCAGAUUCAUAUCCCUAAAGCUCUCUGAACAGUUCAAACAGCGAGAAAAAAGAGAAGCUAGAGAUGAUGAUACCAGAGAUGCCGGAGAAAGAGAUUCCAUAUUCGGAAAUUGAAGUCGGCGCGAACGGCGAAGUAAGACCGGGCAGCGAUGACGAUGACCAAGAAGAGGACUGCUCG
rnacentral:lncRNA from 1 species